rnacentral:rRNA from 1 species
AACGUAGGAGGCGAGCGUUAUCCGGAUUUACUGGGUGUAAAGCGCGUGCAGGCGGUUGGCUAAGUUGGGUGUGAAAGCUCCUGGCUUAACUGGGAGAGGUCGCUCAAGACUGGCCGACUGGAGAGCAGUAAGGGAAGGUGGAAUUCCGGGUGUAGUGGUGAAAUGCGUAGAUAUCCGGAGGAACACCAGUGGCGAAGGCGGCCUUCUGGACUGCUUCUGACGCUCAGACGCGAAAGCUAGGGGAGCAAACGGG